rnacentral:misc_RNA from 1 species
UCACUACUUGCGUAGGCAGUCCGGUAUAUGUCAAACCCAGGUAAGGUUCUUCGCGUUGCAUCGAAUUAAUCCACAUGCUCCGCCGCUUGUGCGGGCCCCCGUCAAUUCCUUUGAGUUUUAGCCUUGCGGCCGUACUCCCCAGGCGGGGCGCUUAAUGCGUUAGCUACGGCACGGAUCCCGUGGAAGGAAACCCACACCUAGCGCCCACCGUUUACGGCGUGGACUAC